GAUGAACGCUGGCGGCGUGCUUAACACAUGCCAGUCGAACGGAAAGGCUCCUGCUUGCCGGGGUACUCGAGUGGCGAACGGGUGAGUAACACGUGGGUGAUCUGCCCUGCACUUCGGGAUAAGCCUGGAAAACUGGGUCUAAUACCGGAUAGGACCACAUUUUGGAUGGUGUGGUGGAAAGUUUUUCGGUGUGGGAUGAGCUCGCGGCCUAUCAGCUUGUUGGUGGGGUAAUGGCCUACCAAGGCGUCGACGGGUAGCCGGCCUGAGAGGGUGUACGGCCACAUUGGGACUGAGAUACGGCCCAGACUCCUACGGGAGGCAGCAGUGGGGAAUAUUGCACAAUGGGCGCAAGCCUGAUGCAGCGACGCCGCGUGGGGGAUGACGGCCUUCGGGUUGUAAACUCCUUUCGCUAGGGACGAAGCGCAAGUGACGGUACCUGGAGAAGAAGCACCGGCUAACUACGUG
rnacentral:rRNA from 1 species